UACCUAUUUAUAUGUUAAAUCCCUAUUUUACAGAUGGGGAAACUGAGGCACGUGAGGCUAUGUAAAUUUUUUUAACAAACAAGGCCACGCAUUUAAUGUAUAUAUCUUGAUGAGUGAGGCUAAGUAAUUUGAGCAGGAAAACGCGGGUAUUGGCGGGGCUGGGAUUCGAACUCAGGAACUCAGGCAGCCUAACAACAGAAACCAGCCAAACUAAGGACGCAGAGGGGAUGUGGGCCCGAGCGGAAGGGAAGGAGCAGCGCGCAGGCGCAGCAGGAAAGGAAUGGUGAGGACGGAAGGGGUGGUGCGCAGGCGCAAGAAGGGCCCGUCGGAGCGGCGCGCAGGCGCAGGAGGGGCAGGUCGGAGCGGCGCGCAGGCGCAGGAGGAGGGACGGCGCCGCGCGCAGGCGCAGAAGCGCAGGCCGGCCCUUGAGGAAGGCAUUGGCAGCACGCCGGCGCUGCUCGUAGUACUCCAUAUAACCCCUCCCCCCCGAGACUUUGAAGGGUGAACUCACAUAGCUAGUCGGGAUUUGAACCCAGGACCGAUUUCAAGCGUCUGAGCUUCUCCGCAAAGAACAAAAUAUUCGCAUCUGGCCAAAAAUCAGGACACGGGUGCUGAAGUGAUUUAUUGUCAGAACUUGUUAGAAGGGUUUCCAAGUGGCUUCCAGGAAGGUGAGUAGGUUUGGGGGCCCAGUUCUUCAGACCGGUGAGUGCUUUCGCUUCUGAUGUCUCCGUGAGCCCUCAGGGGAGAGAAAUAUCCCGUUGGAACCCAUAAGGUCAGAUCUUCUAAAACAGACAGUUCUUCCUAGAGCUCCCCACGAACGCCCCAGAUGGUGCCUUGACGGUGCCUAGGAAUUCAGAGAUCUAUGAUGAUCCUAUCGCUUCGAGAGGCUUGGUAGGUCCAAACAGGGGCACUCCUUCCACAGGUGAAUAAUCAAGAGAUUGACCCACAGGGACUCUGACUUCUGAAAAACAGGACAGAAAAUCCCUUCCCAGAGCUAUAAAUCACGUGUCAUUAUGGGGUCUUCCAGAUGGAGGCGUGUGAGCACAUGGGGGGUCCUUGAAAUGUGCGUGUUCGUCCCCACAGUUACCAUAAGAUGAAAAUAUUCCCCAGUGAAUGGAUCCACUUGUAAACUAGAAAAAAAAUGGAAUCCAUCCCCAGUGAACUUUAGAGCAGGGCUGCCCAGGAGAAAUGACCCAACCAUGGAAUUUAACGUUUUCUAGUAGCCACAAAAAAAGGAGCUGGUGAAAUUGACUUAAAUAAUAUAUUUUAUAUAAUCUGAUAUGUCCAAAAUAUUAUCAGUUCAACGUGCAAUCAGUAUUUCAAAAUAUUAAUGGGAUGUUUUAUAUUCUCUAUUUCGGACCCAGCAUUCGAGACCCAGUGAGCGUCUUACGCUGUUAGCAUAUCUCAAUUUGGACGGGGCACACAGUGACUGGUGGCUGCCAUAUUGGACAGCACAGGUAUAGAGGGUCCAUCGCCCACCCCUGCAUCAACGCCGGCUCAUCUCC
rnacentral:lncRNA from 1 species